rnacentral:rRNA from 1 species
GAUGAACGCUGGCGGCGUGCCUAAUACAUGCAAGUCGAGCGAACGGACGAGAAGCUUGCUUCUCUGAUGUUAGCGGCGGACGGGUGAGUAACACGUGGAUAACCUACCUAUAAGACUGGGAUAACUUCGGGAAACCGGAGCUAAUACCGGAUAAUAUUUUGAACCGCAUGGUUCAAAAGUGAAAGACGGUCUUGCUGUCACUUAUAGAUGGAUCCGCGCUGCAUUAGCUAGUUGGUAAGGUAACGGCUUACCAAGGCAACGAUGCAUAGCCGACCUGAGAGGGGGAUCGGCCACACUGGAACUGAGACACGGUCCAGACUCCUACGGGAGGCAGCAGUAGGGAAUCUUCCGCAAUGGGCGAAAGCCUGACGGAGCAACGCCGCGUGAGUGAUGAAGGUCCUCGGAUCGUAAAACUCUGUUAUUAGGGAAGAACAUAUGUGUAAGUAACUGUGCACAUCUUGACGGUACCUAAUCAGAAAGCCACGGCUAACUACGUG